GUAGGUGGCAAGCGUUGUCCGGAAUUAUUGGGCGUAAAGCGCGCGCAGGCGGUUCUUUAAGUCUGAUGUGAAAGCCCACGGCUCAACCGUGGAGGGUCAUUGGAAACUGGAGAACUUGAGUACAGAAGAGGAAAGCGGAAUUCCACGUGUAGCGGUGAAAUGCGUAGAGAUGUGGAGGAACACCAGAGGCGAAGGCGGCUUUCUGGUCUGUAACUGACGCUGAGGCGCGAAAGCGUGGGGAGCAAACAGGGAUUAGAUACCCUGGUAGUCCACGCCGUAAACGGUGAGUGCUAAGUGUUAGGGGGUUUCCGCCCCCUUAGUGCUGCAGCUAACGCAUUAAGCACUCCGCCUGGGGAGUACGGCCGCAAGGCUG
rnacentral:rRNA from 1 species